GAAAAGAGCAGUCUCACGUGCGGAAGCUUCCCAGAUAACCAGAAAUCGUAUAAAAAUGGCAAUAUAAAAUCGUAUAAAGAUCCAGUUUUAAUUGAAAUUGUGUAAAGUUCAUGUUAUAGCCAGUUUAAGUUAUUUUUUAUCAUAUAUUGUUCGCACAGUCUGUGAUAUAUGACUGCAUAUUGUUACUCGUAUAGAUGCAUAGAAAAAAUUAGGAUUCGUCGCAGUAGAGUUGUCUAUAGUGGUUUGAAGCGUUUGGUGUUAAAAAUGAACUCAGUUUUGAGUAGAAGGAAAAUUAUCAAAUUAAAAAAAAGUGGCACAUAUAGUCGGCUUUUACAAAAACAGGCAGCGAUUUAAAAGAUCUUCUAAAGUAACAAAAGUUAAUUCCCAAAUUACGAAUUCUGCGUCCAACGAGAUAUCUCAAGGAAGUGAAGAGCAUUUAAAUUCUGCUGAAUUUAUCCAAUUGGAUCCUAGUCCUGACACAACAUCAUCUAUUGACACUGAAGAACCCAAGAUAUCUGAAUAUUUUGGUGCAAAUUCUUGUCUCGAAACUGAUCUUCAGCAAUGGGCUACAGAUUUUAAUGUUUCCCAUUCAGCAUUGAAAUCAUUGCUCGCAGUUUUAAACCAAAACCUAGCUGUGAAUCUUCCUUUGGAUCCUAGAACACUGAUGAAGACUCCCAGAAACAUAACGUUCACCAGAAUGAGCGAACACGGACAGUAUUGGCAUAAUGGAUUUGAAUAUUGCCUUCGAUUUUUUUCGCUAAGAUUGAAAGAUCCAUUUCUAUUUCCAUCAACAUCAACGUAGAUGGUUUACGAUUUUCAAAAGUUCACUUAAGAAUUUUUGGCCGAUUCUUUGUUCCAUUCAGAAAUUUCCGAAAAUACCACCUUUGGUUGUUGGCAUUUAUUACGGAACCAGCAAGCCCAAGGAUGCUUCUGAAUUUCUUUCGCCUUUUAUUGAAGAGCUGCUGCCUAUAUCAGAAGCAGGAGUGAACGUAAACGGCCAUUUGAUCACCGUCAAAAUACGUUGCUUCAUAUGUGAUACUCUAGCGAGAGCUUUCAUAAAAGGUGUUGUAAAUUUUAACGGAAAAUUCAGCUGUAUUAAAUGCACAACUAAAGGGCAGUACUCACAUGUUUCAAAUACAAUGGUUUACCCCGAUAUAAAUGCCCCGAAAAGAACUAACAAAGAGUUUCGCGAGAAGAAAUCUCUGGACCAUCAACGACAGGACACGCCACUAAUAAAGCUUCCAAUCGAUUUGGUUGAGGAUGUCAUAGUAAGCGAUUCACUACACUUACUGGAAUUGGGUGUGAUGAAAAAGAUACUGACCAGCUGGCGAACCGGAAAAAUGAGCAAUAGGGCCAAAUGGAGCACUUCUGAGAAAGCGGAAAUUUCCGAUAUUCUCAUGAAUAUCAGGUUCCCUUCAGAAAUCCAUCGUCGCAUGCGAUCUUUGGAAUUCGUUUCCUUAUGGAAAGGGUUAGAGUAUCGCAAUUUUCUAAACUACGUUGGAAUAGUUGUUUUGAAAACGUAUUUACCGAAAAAUUUUAUGAGCAUUUUCUUUUUUUGUUCUGCGCUACAAGAAUUUGCUCGGCUUAUAAGUAUAAAUAUCUACUGCCAGUAGCUAGAUGUUUGUUCAAUGAUUUUAUAAACAACUUUAAGUCUUUGUAUGGAGUGGAGUUCAUCACCAGUAAUAUACAUAAUUUGUGCCACGUAACUGACAAAGUUGAGAGGUUUGGAAUAUUAUCAACACUUACCGCAUAUCCGUUCGAGAAUUUCUUGUAUACUUUGAAAAAUAUGCUCAAAGCAGGGCCACACCCUCUCGCGCAAGUGGCGAAUCGAAUUACAGAGAACAUGAGAGCAAACGAAUUCUUUCCCUUUGAACAAAAUCAUAAUGUAAGUAAGCCAACAAUAACUGUAGUAAGAAACGAAAAGAUUUGCAAAAUUAUUUUCCCGAAGUUCAUACUAACCACUGCUUGCAAAGAUAAAUGGUUUUUGUCGAAUUCAUUAAACAUAGUUUGUGUUGUGAGCAUCAUUGAAAGCAAAAAUCAAUGGAGUAUUGAAGGGCAGCAUCUACUGAGGCAGAAAGAUUUUUUCUUAAAGCCAUUCAAAUCUUCUGUUCUACAUAUAUAUGUUGCCAGAGAGAACCUUAAUAAUCGAUCGAAAGUUCUUGUGUACGAAUGCUGUUCAAUAAUGUGCAAGCUUGUAGCUAUUUCAUGUUCAGAAGGCAUUGUAUUCAUACCACUAAUACAUACGUUGGAUUGAAAUCUGUGAGGUUUU